AUUAGAUUAAAAACCAAUGCCCUUCGGGGCUCACUGGUGAUUCAUAAUAACUUCUCGAAUCGCACGGCCUUGCGCCGGCGAUGGUUCAUUCAAAUUUCUGCCCUAUCAACUUUCGACGGCUGGUCUUGGCCAGCCAUGGUGACAACGGGUAACGGAGGGUUAGGGCUCGACCCCGGAGAAGGAGCCUGAGAAACGGCUACUACAUCCAAGGAAGGCAGCAGGCGCGCAAAUUACCCAAUCCCGACACGGGGAGGUAGUGACAAUAAAUACUGAUACAGGGCUCUUUUGGGUCUUGUAAUUGGAAUGAGUACAAUUUAAAUCCCUUAACGAGGAACAAUUGGAGGGCAAGUCUGGUGCCAGCAGCCGCGGUGAUUCCAGCUCCAAUAGCGUAUAUUAAAGUUGUUGAGGUUAAAAAGCUCGUAGUUGAACCUUGGGCCUAGCCGGCCGGUCCGCCUCACCGCGUGCACUGGCUCGGCUGGGUCUUUCCUUCUGGAGAACCGCAUGCCCUUCACUGGG
rnacentral:rRNA from 1 species